rnacentral:rRNA from 1 species
GGAAUAUUGGACAAUGGGCGAAAGCCUGAUCCAGCCAUGCCGCGUGUGUGAAGAAGGUCUUCGGAUUGUAAAGCACUUUAAGUUGGGAGGAAGGGCAUUAACCUAAUACGUUGGUGUCUUGACGUUACCGACAGAAUAAGCACCGGCUAACUCUGUGCCAGCAGCCGCGGUAAUACAGAGGGUGCAAGCGUUAAUCGGAAUUACUGGGCGUAAAGCGCGCGUAGGUGGUUCGUUAAGUUGGAUGUGAAAUCCCCGGGCUCAACCUGGGAACUGCAUUCAAAACUGUCGAGCUAGAGUAUGGUAGAGGGUGGUGGAAUUUCCUGUGUAGCGGUGAAAUGCGUAGAUAUAGGAAGGAACACCAGUGGCGAAGGCGACCACCUGGACUGAUACUGACACUGAGGUGCGAAAGCGUGGGGAGCAAACAGGAUUAGAUACCCUAG